rnacentral:tRNA from 1 species
GGGCAAUUAGCUCAGUGGUUAGAGCACUUAUCUGAUAAGUAAGGGGUCGAUGGUUCGAUUCCAUCAUUGCCCA